rnacentral:lncRNA from 1 species
GCGGCGGCACGUAGGACGGAUCUCUUGGAUUUACCUGUAACGAGGAGCGGCGCACCCCAGGAGCCCCGGCAGCACCCCAGGAGCCCCGGCAGCACCCCAGGAGCCCCGGCAGCACCCCAGGAGCCCCGGCAGCACCCCAGGAGCCCCGGCAGCACCCCAGGAGCCCCGGCAGCACCCCAGGAGCCCCGGCAGCACCCCAGGAGCCCCGGCAGCACCCCAGGAGCCCCGGCAGCACCCCAGGAGCCCCGGCAGCACCCCAGGAGCCCCGGCAGCACCCCAGGAGCCCCGGCAGCACCCCAGGAGCCCCGGCAGCACCCCAGGAGCCCCGGCAGCACCCCAGGAGCCCCGGCAGCACCCCAGGAGCCCCGGCAGCACCCCAGGAGCCCCGGCAGCACCCCAGGAGCCCCGGCAGCACCCCAGGAGCCCCGGCAGCACCCCAGGAGCCCCGGCAGCACCCCAGGAGCCCCGGCAGCACCCCGGGAGCCCCGGCAGCACCCCAGGAGCCCCGGUACGCAACCCUCCCCCGGGAACCCCGGCAGCACCCCGGGAGCCCCGGCAGCACCCCGGGAGCCCCGGCAGCACCCCAGGAGCCCCGGCAGCACCCCGGGAGCCCCGGCAGCACCCCAGGAGCCCCGGCAGCACCCCAGGAGCCCCGGUACGCAACCCUCCCCCAGGAGCCCCGGCAGCACCCCAGGAGCCCCGGCAGCACCCCAGGAGCCCCGGCAGCACCCCAGGAGCCCCGGUACGCAACCCUCCCCCAGGAGCCCCGGCAGCACCCCAGGAGCCCCGGCAGCACCCCAGGAGCCCCGGCAGCACCCCAGGAGCCCCGGCGCCACCCUCCCCCCGGAGGGGGAUCCCGGCGCGCCACCCUCCCCCCGGAGGGGGAUCCCGGCGCGCCACCCUCCCCCCGGAGGGGGAUCCCGGCGCGCCACCCUCCCCCCGGAGGGGGAUCCCGGCGCGCCACCCUCCCCCCGGAGGGGGAUCCCGGCGCGCCACCCUCCCCCCGGAGGGGGAUCCCGGCGCGCCACCCUCCCCGGCAACAACCUGUUGCCAUGUAUUGCGAUUUGUAUCAGUCACAAGCACACAACCCCUUCUAGUAUUAAUGAUGUUUAAAACGUUCUACACGUACGGCGGACCGCAUCCGUCGCAAGCACGCGCAUAUAACCCCCAAAUGCACCAUGAUGAGAAGCACAGCCACGCGUCAAAAAACUUUAAAAACAUCGUUAUCCAAUAUUAAAAACCACACCGAAAUUUACACAGGUGGCACGUUACCGUGUUAGUGUCACCCACUGUACACAAGGCGUGUCGUAUAUGUAGUAUAGGUAUUUGAUGAGGCGGAAGCAUAUCCCGCUUCCAGCGAACGGAAAUAAGGACCAUCCGUUCCAGCAUUUAUUCAAAGGGGGCACAGAGGGUUCACAUUGUUUAGAGAGAGUUUUUCUUAGUAACCAUUCCAUACUUUGGCAGUAUUGGCCUACGAUUUGGGCGACGUUUCAGGCUGGUCUAUUCUCCGUCCACUUUUCCCCGGCUAUUCUAUCCCAGCAUAGGCUCUUGAAAUAAACAAUGUUUACCGAGUAAAA